rnacentral:rRNA from 1 species
AGCAGCCGCGGUAAUUCCAGCUCCAAUAGCGUAUAUUAAAGUUGUUGCAGUUAAAAAGCUCGUAGUUGAAUUUUAGGCCUGGCCGGGCGGUCCGUCUUUGGCGAGUACUGUUCUGUGUCGGGUCUUACCUUCUGGUAAACCGGCAUGUUCCUUUAUCGUGUAUGCCGGGGAACCAGGACCAUUACCUUGAAAAAAUUAGAGUGUUUAAAGCGGGCUUUUGCUUGAAUAGAUUAGCAUGGAAUAAUAAAAUAGGACGUUGGUUCUAUUUUGUUGGUCUAGGACCACCGUAAUGAUUAAUAGGGAUAGUUGGGGCAUUAGUAUUCAAUUGUCAGAGGUGAAAUUCUUGGAUUUAUUGAAGACUAACUAUUGCGAAAGCAUUUGCCAAGGAUGUUUUCAUUAAUCAAGAACGAAAGUUAGGGGAUCGAAGACGAUCAGAUACCGUCGUAGUCUUAACCAUAAACUAUGCCGACUAGGAAUCGGGCGACGUUAUUUCACGACUCGCUCGGCGCCUUAUGGGAAA